rnacentral:rRNA from 1 species
UACGAAGGGGGCUAGCGUUGUUCGGAAUUACUGGGCGUAAAGGGCGCGUAGGCGGCGUGUCAAGUCAGGCGUGAAAGCCCCGGGCUCAACCUGGGAACCGCGCUUGAGACUGGCAUGCUCGAGUUCGGGAGAGGAUGGUGGAAUUCCCAGUGUAGAGGUGAAAUUCGUAGAUAUUGGGAAGAACACCGAUGGCGAAGGCAGCCCCCUGGGCUGAGAUUGACGCUCAGGCACGAAAGCGUGGGGAGCAAACAGG